GAAACGGAAACUAAAACCGGAUAGGUAAUAGAGAAGCAUUUCUGUAUUAUUAAAGAAGCCUCAAAGCUUUGAACAUGGAUGGACCUGCGGUGCAUUAGCUAGUUGGUAAGGUAACGGCCUACCAAGGCGACGAUGCAUAGCCGACCUGAGAGGGCGAACGGCCACAUUGGGACUGAGACACGGCCCAAACUCCUACGGGAGGCAGCAGUAGGGAAUUUUCGUCAAUGGGGGGAACCCUGAACGAGCAAUGCCGCGUGAGUGAAGACGGUCUUCGGAUUGUAAAGCUCUGUUGUGAGAGAAAAAGGAUAUAUAUAGGAAAUGAUAUGUAUUUGAUGGUAUCUCACCAGAAAGUCACGGCUAACUACGUGCCAGCAGCCGCGGUAAUACGUAGGUGGCGAGCGUUAUCCGGAAUGAUUGGGCGUAAAGGGUACGUAGGCGGCAUGAUAAGUCUGGAGUGAAAGGCUACAGCUCAACUGUAGUAUGCUCUGGAAACUGUCAAGCUAGAGUGCAGAAGAGGGCAAUGGAACUCCAUGUGUAGCGGUAAAGUGCGUAGAUAUAUGGAAGAACACCGGUGGCGAAGGCGGUUGCCUGGUCUGAAACUGACGCUGAAGUACGAAAGCGUGGGGAGCAAAUAGGAUUAGAUACCCUAGUAGUCCACGCCGUAAACGAUGAGAACUAGGUGUUGGGGGAAUAACUCAGUGCC
rnacentral:rRNA from 1 species